GCUGCUCUGCAAGCGCGGAGGAUCUGGGUGGUGAAGUUGCAGCGCGGUUGUAGCAGCCAGCCAUGCUCCAGCGGGACUCGGCUCGGCUUCCCGGGAGCUGCUCAGUCUCUGUGCAAGCUUCUGAGGCAGAUCUGGAGCUGCAGGAUUGAUGGAGACACGAUGAGAGGCUAACCCAGGGACUGAUGCACCUGGGCCCCCCCCCAGCCCCCAUGGAGCUUGCUA